UACAGAGGGGCAAGCGUUGUUCGGAAUUACUGGGCGUAAAGGGCGCGUAGGCGGCCUCCUAAGUCGAACGUGAAAUCCCUGGGCUCAACCCAGGAACUGCGUCCGAUACUGGAAGGCUUGAAUCCGGAGAGGGAUGCGGAAUCCAGGUGUAGCGGUGAAAUGACGUAGAUAUCUGGAGGAACACCGGUGGCGAAGGCGGCA
rnacentral:rRNA from 1 species